rnacentral:tRNA from 1 species
GGCCUCGUAGUUCUGUUGGCUAGAGCGUUGUCCGUACUGAAGCCUUCUCCUUGCUGGUGUGGGUUCGAAUCCCACCGAGGCCG